rnacentral:rRNA from 1 species
GAUGAACGCUGACAGAAUGCUUAACACAUGCAAGUCAACUUGAAUUUGGGUUUUUAACUUAGGUUUGGGUGGCGGACGGGUGAGUAACGCGUAAAGAACUUGCCUCACAGCUAGGGACAACAUUUGGAAACGAAUGCUAAUACCUAAUAUUAUGAUAAUAGGGCAUCCUAUAAUUAUGAAAGCUAUAAGCGCUGUGAGAGAGCUUUGCGUCCCAUUAGCUAGUUGGAGAGGUAACGGCUCACCAAGGCGAUGAUGGGUAGCCGGCCUGAGAGGGUGAUCGGCCACAAGGGGACUGAGACACGGCCCUUACUCCUACGGGAGGCAGCAGUGGGGAAUAUUGGACAAUGGACCAAGAGUCUGAUCCAGCAAUUCUGUGUGCACGAUGAAGUUUUUCGGAAUGUAAAGUGCUUUCAGUUGGGAAGAAAGAAAUGACGGUACCAACAGAAGAAGUGACGGCUAAAUACGUGCCAGCAGCCGCGGUAAUACGUAUGUCACGAGCGUUAUCCGGAUUUAUUGGGCGUAAAGCGCGUCUAGGUGGUUAUAUAAGUCUGAUGUGAAAAUGCAGGGCUCAACUCUGUAUUGCGUUGGAAACCGUAUAACUAGAGUACUGGAGAGGUAAGCGGAACUACUAGUGUAGAGGUGAAAUUCGUAGAUAUUUGUAGGAAUGCCGAUGGGGAAGCCAGCUUACUGGACAGAUACUGACGCUGAAGCGCGAAAGCGUGGGUAGCAAACAGGAUUAUAUACCCUGGUAGUCCAAGGGGCGAAUUCCACAGUGUAUAUCAGCUUAUCUGAUUGCUGUCGACCUCGAGGGGGGGCCCGGUACCCUGCUUUUGUGCCCUUUAGUGAGGUGUUA